rnacentral:rRNA from 1 species
UAGGGAAUCUUCCGCAAUGGACGAAAGUCUGACGGAGCAACGCCGCGUGAGUGAAGAAGGAUUUCGGUUCGUAAAACUCUGUUGUUAGGGAAGAAAAAAUGUAUAGUAACUAUAUACAAAAGAGACGGUACCUAACCAGAAAGCCACGGCUAACUACGUGCCAGCAGCCGCGGUAAUACGUAGGUGGCAAGCGGUGUCCGGAAUUAUUGGGCGUAAAGCGCGCGCAGGUGGUUUAGAAAGUCUGAUGUGAAAGCCCACGGCUCAAACGUGGAGGGUCAUUGGAAACUAAUAAACUUGAGUGCAGGAGAGAAAAGUGGAAUUCCUAGUGUAGCGGUGAAAUGCGUAGAGAUUAGGAGGAACACCGGUGGAGAAAGCGGCUUUUUGGCCUGCAACUGACACUGAGGCGCGAAAGCGUGGGGAGCAAACAGG